ACCGAAAUAGUCUAUGAAGUUCAAAUCAAAUUCUGUUUCCUUUAACUUUUUUCAUAUCCAUGUUAAUCACAUUCCUGUGAAACUGAAGAGAGAGAAGUGCUCCUCUCCUUGAUACUAAAUUUAAUAUGGAGAUGAUUAGAAGUGCAUUUGUCACUGUUGCCUGGAGAGCUUCAUACAUUAGCCCUCCCCAAAUUAGAUUAACACCUAACCAUUCCCUGCUGCUCCCCAAGUCCUCACUGCUAUGCCAGGCCUCUACAACAAUUGCCUUCUAUUGAUUUUUCCCAAAUUAUUUAUUUUUUAAACUUUAUAGUUAGCUUACUUUAAUUCAUUAGUAUUCAACUUUCAGUGAAAAAUCCUAAACACUGGGAGACUCUGAUCCUGUCCCCUCUGGUUGAGACAGAUAGAUAUGUAUUUGUCUGAAGUCAAUUGUUUUCUAUUGACUUUUACCAUUUCUUCCCUCUCUUUCCCAAAGACAAAACUAUUUAGAUCUGAUCGAGCAUCUGGCCUGUUAGAUGAGCUGCUCUUUCUCCUUUAUAGAAAUCCUGAUUGAAAAUGUGGCUGGUCUGAUAGUGGUCUAGAAACAUUUCCCAGGAGCAAGCCACAAUUUGUCACUGCAUUCAGUUUCAAAGCCUUUUGGUUGGGGAAAAUAGGAUUCUUCAAAUUUUCCUUAACAAAGUACCAAGUCCCUCCUGAGAGUCCAAAUAACCAGUGCCCCAAGCCUUGCAACCCAUACUGUUUGGGUCUCUGUGUUAGCUCCAGGGAGUAAGCCAGGUAAAAAGCUUGGUGAUAACACUAGAGGUGGCCAUACUAAUACUACUACUAGUAAUAGCUAACAUUUGAGUCCUUACUGUGUUCCCGAAAUGUGAAAAGUGCUCUCCCUAUAUUUUCUCACCUAUACAAUAGAUAUUAUCCACAAUUUACAGAAAAGGAAACUGAAAUUUAUAAAAGUCAAGUAAUUCCCUCAAGAACACACAGCUAGUGAGUGAUUGUGCCCAGGAUUUAAGCCCAGAUUGGGUUCUAUUGCCAGGUUGUCUGAUACCUUGAAGUAGGCAAGGGAAAAAUUAAUAUUGAGCUGAGAUUAGCAUCUAUUGUAUAAUAACCCUCUAUUCCUGCUUAGCUUAGAUAAGUGCAAAUUGAUUCAAUUUAGGUCUGUCCCUGUACUCAGGUUCUGACAUCCAGGUGAAUCAAUUCCCUCUGAGUCUUAGUUUUCUCAUCCAUGCAAUGAAGACAUUAGACUGAGUGACACCAUGAGAAACUCCCAGCUCUUACAAUGUGGGACUCAAGAUAAAUGUGAUAUAGACAGUACUCUGUAUAGACAUUUAAGGCUGGAGAAGCCCUGGAGGUGAUCUAAUCUAGGCAUGUUAAAUGCACACCAUACAUGCUGCCUCUUCCCUCUGCCAUGCCCAUGGUAGACAUCACUAAUGGAUCACCAUCUUCUUUCUUGCUGAAUCCAGUCAUAACUUCGUAAUUUUUUACAAUUCUAUGCCUAGUAAUGGAAUGAGACAAACGCACAUAAAAUAAACCUAGUUGCUAUCCCAAUUGCUAACAAACCUGCUCAAUUUAGAAGUGAGGAAACUGAGACACAGAGAGGGUAAGGGAUUCAAUAAACAUCUAUUGAGUGAUUGACAGGUGCCAAAUCUUGUGUUAAAUUCUGAGAAAGAGAUGAAUAAUACAUAGUCUUAUCCUCUAACAACUUUCAGUUUAGUGAGAGAUGUAGGCUGUUAAACAAGCAGUUACAAUACUGUGUAAUGAGUAUUAUUUGACUAGCUGGGAAAAAAUCUAACCUAGGCUGAUUCACAGAAAGCUUCCUAAAAGGAGUAGCACGUAAGCUAAGAAUUGAAUGGGAAUAGAAUUUUUUUAAAAAUAGAGUUGCAGGUAGCAGUAGCAAUGGACGCUCUGGAUCAAGUUGUAAAGCUCAAAAUGAAAAGAGCCAAGAGAUUCCUUGAAAAGAGAGAGCCGAAACCCAAUGAAAACAAUAAAAAUGCCAUGCUGAUUAAAGGGAGAAAUGCAAAUGCAACAGUGAUGCAAAUACUUAAAGAUGUGUGUGCACUGAAAAAACCAUAUGGUAUACUGUAUAAAGAGAAAAAUAUUACAAGACCUUUUGAGGAUCAGACAUCAUUGGAAUUCUUUUCAAAGAAGUCAGAUUGUUCUUUAUUGAUGUUUGGCUCCUAUAAGCAGCAGCAGCCAAAUAGUCUAGUAAUAGGUCGUAUGUAUGACUACCAUGUGCUGGAUCUCAUUGAACUAGAUAUUGAGAAUUUUGCCUCUCUAAAAGACAUUAAGAACAGUAAAUGUUCUGAGGGAACAAAACCCAUGCUAAUAUUUGCUGGUGAUGAUUCUGAUGUAACAGAAGAUCACAGAAGACUAAAAAGUCUUUUAUUGGUUUCUUCAGAGGCCCCACAGUAUCAAAUAUCUGCCUGGCUGGAUUAGAGUAUGUUCUGCACUUCACUGCACUGAAUGGGAAGAUUUACUUUCAAAACUAUAAGCUGCUGUUGAAGAAAUCUGGUUGCUGAACACCAUGAAUUGGACCCUUAUUGGAUCUGGUUCUGAAGAGGACACACCUGGCAUUGGAUGAUCUUUAUAAACUAUGAAAAUGCCAAAAGCUCUCAAGCCAAAGAAGAAGAAAAACAUCUCCCAUGAUACUUUGGGUAAAACUUAUGGAAGGAUUCAUAUGCAGAAGCAAGACCUAAGCAAACUAUAAACCAGAAAAAUGUAAGGGUUGAAGAAGCAACCUGCAGAAAGGAUAACAGAAGAUCAGGAGAAAAAGUCAAAAAGAAUUUUAAACAAUUGAUGGAACGUAGCCAACCACUACUGCUUUACUGUGCUCUGCUUAAGAGAAUUAUCAAGUGUCAAUCCAUUCAGAGUUUCGUAUAAGAUCUUAUAUAUGUUUAUAACAUGAUAAUUUUACCGUAUAGUAUUACGAACAGUAAUAUACUAGUAUUAAGUGUAAAGUAAGCCUCUUACUUGAGACAUUACACCCUGGUGUGCCAUUUUCUCUUGUGAUAUCCCCUGCCCUCCACAAGUUCUUCUUUCUAACUGGGUGGAUGGGUGGGUGAGAAGAGAUCUACACAACCAUUGGGAUUUUUUUAAAUUUCUGGCCUUAGCUAAAGAAAGCCACAGAAAGCAGAAAUGACCCUCAGGAGCUGUGUACACACUCUCAAUAUGAACUACCUGGAAAUUUAACCUCCUCUCCCUACAUAGAUCUACAACCUGAUUUUUAUUUUUUACUUUUCUAUUAUUUUUCCUGAAAUCCUACCAGUUGACAUUUGAGAUUUUAAGCUUUGUGUCUGAAAAUAUAUAUCUCUGAGAGGG